UACGUAGGGGGCGAGCGUUGUCCGGAAUCAUCGGGCGUAAAGAGCUUGUAGGCGGUUUGUCGCGUCUGCUGUGAAAUUUCGGGGCUCAACCCCGAACUUGCAGUGGGUACGGGCAGACUAGAGUGUGGUAGGGGAGACUGGAAUUCCUGGUGUAGCGGUGAAAUGCGCAGAUAUCAGGAGGAACACCGAUGGCGAAGGCAGGUCUCUGGGCCAUAACUGACGCUGAGAAGCGAAAGCAUGGGGAGCGAACAGG
rnacentral:rRNA from 1 species